GGGAGAGGGCUGCCAGUGUCUAUAUAUUUUUCAUACAGCAAAUGCUACUAAAAUGGCUGCUGCCUCUCUGUUUCCUUAGAAACCCAUGAGUCUUCCUCAGCAGCUGUCGAAACUUGCCGGCGGUUGCUUGCUCACCUUUGCUGUCUCCCCUUCAGAAAAGGCUGGAGGGGAGGGCGAGGAAGGCUUGGCGUGGGGACGCCCGUCGAGUCUCUCAGUGAGGAAUGAGAGGCCAGCUUCUCCUGCGGGGUAUGAAGGAGGAACUGUAUCUCCUAUAUAUAUUAAGUUUCAUUUAUAAAGACAUCAGAGAGCACCUGAGAAUGUUUCAAGGUCACCAAAAGCUUUCUGAAAAUGCCUUUCUGCAAAGAAGGUUUCCAGGUAAGGAGCUAGAGGAGAAAGGAGCUGCACAUCACCUGUCAUCACACAGAGGCUCAGAGUUGCCAUAGCUUUGGUUAUGAUACUAAUAAUAGUCGCCAUUUAUUGAACAUCCACUGAGUGUUAGACCCUGUGCAGUACUCCUUACAUGUGUGAUCCCAUUUAAUCUUCAGAACACUCUAUGAGGCAGAGCCAGAAAGACACUACUCCACAAACAGCAAUAAAUAUCCUUGAAAAUGUAGUGAAAUAUUGAAAAUGAUAUGUAUCAGUACUUUCAGGGAGAGUGUUAAUUGGAUUGGAAGGAAGACACUGAUGAGCUGCUGGGAGUGAGAGUGAGACCCUCGAGGAGUCCACAGUGCAUUUUAAGGAGUGUAGCUCUGAUGAACUGCAAGGCCUUUGUUUUGCUGUGUGGGGGCCCUGCCUCUUCUCUAAAGAGAAGUUGAAGACUUAUUUAAAGAACAUCCUUUCGAAGGAGAACCAACAAUCACUAGCUUGUCCAGAGCAUGCUCAUGUCUUCAUCCAGCCCUGGAGGGACCUGGUGGUGAUAAGCUGUCGAGAUCACUUAUGCUAAAGGGCUUCGACAUCUAUAAAUUGCAAGUUUUGGCUAUAAAGGAUAUGAGGGAUGGGUCUCCUGAGAAACCCAUAGAAAUUCUCCAGGAAAUUCUAUCAUAGAUUGGGCAUUCACUCAUAUCCGUAUAUGGGGAAAAAUCUGAUUCACCAUGUUUUAGGUACCUCAUUGGAAGGUAGGUUAUAAAAACACAUCUAUCACUCCUGCUGGUGAUAUAACCAAUUCAAUGAAGACGCAGUAUUCCUUCGGUGAAAUCAUAAAAGCAAUUUUAAUGUUUUAUCUCACUGUCCUUUUAAACUUGCUCAGUGAAGGCAAUUCUACCCCUGCCACUGGAUAUAGCUUGUUUGGUCACUUAUAGGUAAUAGAAAGUACCAGAUUCUUUCUAUUAGAAUGCCCAAACCAAUAUAUCACUACAUAUUUCAAUCUUCAUUUCAAAGAAAAGAACUCUGCCCUCCUCCCCAACCUACAGCUGGUCACAGGCAGGUCUCAGCCUUUAGGAGAGAAGACGUGGUCAGCUUCUCCUUUCCUUCCUCAUCCCAGACCACCAUGAAAGCUGCUGGUUUUGACCCUUCCAGAAUCAGAGUAGGGAAGGGAAGAGAGAAAAGAAGGGGCAAGAAAGUUCUUACUUUACUGGGACAGUUGUAAGAUGGCAUUGUCUUUUCCAAACCUGGCUAAUGUCAAACCUGCUCUUUAUCUUGUGGGUGCCUUCAUUUUUUCUUAGGUGCCCCUGCUGCUGGGCCCCCCACAUAAGCAAGUGUCACUGGAUUUCCUGAGUCCCCCUCCAAAUUUCCUCCCUCCGUAGGACUCCCAAUUUAUCUUCCACCCACACCCCAGCUGUCUUCUUGAGCAGGAUUUAAAGGGGCUCCAGGAUCGUUCUCUUCUGUGUGUCCCACAUUUGGUCCAUAGGGACACUCAACACCUAUUUUGCUCUAAUAAACUCAGAGUGCAGACCAAUCCUACCAACCGUGCAGCCUCUUCACUCGCCAAAGAGGCUCACCAAUCCCUCUCUCCUGAUCUGUAGGUUUCCAGGGCUGGAGUCAGACAACAAUCCCCUAUGCUCCCAACUUACAGGUUCUCUGAGUGGCCCACAUGGAGAGGAAAAAAUAGUAUGAGAAAUAUUACUUUUCAAGACUUUCCAUGACUAAAACAAGAAAAUACUCCUGUUUUAGUCAUGGUUCUCCAGAGAAAUAGAACCAAUGGAUUAUAUAUCUGUAACUAUGUCUAUAUCUGUAUCUAUAAAAGGAGACUUAUUAUGAGGAAUUGGCUCCCACAAUUAUGGAAGCUGAGAAGUCCUACCAUAUGCCAUCUGCAAGAUGGAAACCCAAGAAAGCGGUGUAAUUCAGUCUGAAUCCAAAAGCCUGAAAACUAAGGAAGCUGCUAAAAAUCCCAAUCCAAGAGCAGAAGACGAGAUGUCCCCAUGCUAGCAGUAAGGCAGGAAAAAAGGGGCAAAUUUCUCUUUUUGUUCUGUUCAGGCCCCCCAACUAAUGGGAUGCUGCCUCCUUGAGGAGGGCAAUCUACUGAGUCCACUGAUUGAAAUGCUGAUCACAUCCAGAAAAACCCUCACAAACACACAAAGAAACAGUGUUUAAUCUGGGGACCCGUUGGUCCACUCAAGGUGACACAUAAAAUUAACCAUUACAACUCCUCACAAAAUCUUCCUUUAAUUUCUCCUUCGUAGGCACUAUUUCCCCCUUCAGGUGAGAAGUUUUAGACCCAUGAAACUGGUCUUUAGUAUUUUGAUUGAAAGUUUGCAUCUUGGCAUCUCACUUUGGAAUUUCAUAGCUAUUCUAUUUUGGUGCCUGACGUGAAACUUGCAAUUUAACAUCUGUGACUUGGGCUAGUGAAAACUGAAUCAAGUCAACUUCCUUCCACACCUUCAACAUUAAUUCCUACUCAACCAAGACAAUUGCCUUUUCUACGCAAAGUGAUUCGCCUGGGACUUGGGAGGAAUACCAUACUCAUUAGGGAAGUACAGCUCUUACAGUCUCCUGAGCUUUCUAAAAAAGAAAUGCGUAAUUAAAAAUAUCUGAUCAGGAGAGUCCCAAUUUGUGGGUAACAAUAAAAAGGUUGUGGUUUGUUUUAAAACUGUGAUUUGUCCAUUUAGGGGAAUAUAUUUGGAUUAAGAUCUUAAAGCGAUAAUAAGGGGAGACAGGAAAGUGGCUAAAAUUUUAUUUACGAUAACACUUUUUUUUAGACUUUACUGCUAAAGCAAAAGUCACAAAUGACCCACAUUUAGGACCUCAAUAUUUUCAGUACUAAAUUAAGUAUUGAGGAAAGAAAAGAACUUUCAUCUGAGGAUUGUGAGCCCUUACGAAUUGUUAGGCCCAGAGAGGCAUUAAAAUGAGAUCACAGUUGUGCCCUAUUACCCACUCUGAGCUAUGUAUUUAUCUCCUGCAACUGCUUAGCUAUUGUCACAGUAGCUAUAAAUUAACCUAAUAAUGCCACACCAGACACUAUAACCCACACCCUAUAGCUUACCAACGCAUAGCCAAUCACUAAUCAGUGUUAAGUCUGUAAACCAAUGAGAAUUCCUGACAAACAACUUUGUAUCAGCCCACUCACUGUUUUCCUUUCUUACCUUUAAAAGUCUGCCUGUAGGCCCUUUGCAGUGGCUCACUCCUGUAAUCCCAGCACUUAGGGAGGCCAAGGCAGGUGGGUCGCUUGAGGCCAGGAGUUCAAGACCAGCCUGGGCAACAUGGCGAAACCCCAUGUCUGCAAAAAAUACAAAAAUCAGCCAGGCAUGGUGGCACUCGCCUAUAGUCCCAGCUACUUGGCGGGGCUAAGGUGGGAAGAUCACUUGAACCUGGGAGGUUGAGGCUGCAGUAAGCUGAGAUUGCACCACUGCACUGCAGCCUGGGUGACAAAGUGAGACCCUGUUUAAAAAGGAAAAAAGGAAAAGAAAAAAAAAAGAUAAAUAAAAGUCCACCUGUAACUGCUACUAAUCAGAGGGUCUAUUCAGGGCAGCAUGCAUCUAUGCUCCUGGGCUGCAAUCUUCAAACUCCCGGCCCAAAUAAACUCCUACUUAUAUUAACUCUGCCUCAGUUCCUUUCUUUUGGAUCGACAGUAUUAUUACAUUUCUUUGUGACUU
rnacentral:lncRNA from 10 species